GAAUUUUGGACAAUGGGCGAAAGCCUGAUCCAGCAAUGCCGCGUGCAGGAUGAAGGCUUUCGGGUUGUAAACUGCUUUUGUACGGAACGAAAAGAUUUUGGUUAAUACAUUGGAUUCUUGACGGUACCGUCAGAACACGCACCGGCUAACUACGUCCCUGUCGCCGCGGUAAUAGGUAGGGGGCAAGCGUUAAUCGGAAUUACUGGGCGUAAAGCGUGCGCAGGCGGUUGUGUAAGACAGAGGUGAAAUCCCCGGGCUCAACCUGGGAACUGCCUUUGUGACUGCAAGGCUAGAGUACGGCAGAGGGGGGUGGAAUUCCGCGUGUAGCAGUGAAAUGCGUAGAUAUGCGGAGGAACACCGAUGGCGAAGGCAACCCCCUGGGCCUGUACUGUCGCUCAUGCACGAAAGCGUGGGGAGCAAAC
rnacentral:rRNA from 1 species